UCUGAAGUAUUUGAUAUGGAUGGGAUACCCAGGGUUGAUGUUUUGAAGAAUCACUUGGUAAAAGAAGGUCGAGUAGAUGAAGAAAUUGCACUUAGAAUUAUCAAUGAGGGUGCUGCCAUUCUUCGGAGAGAGAAAACCAUGAUAGAAGUAGAAGCUCCAAUUACAGUGUGUGGUGACAUCCAUGGCCAAUUGUUUGAUCUGAUGAAACUUUUUGAAGUAGGAGGAUCACCUGCUAAUACACAAUACAUUUUUCUUGGUGAUUAUGUGGACAGAGGUUAUUUUAGUAUAGAGUGUGUCUUAUAUUUAUGGGUUCUGAAGAUUCUAUACCCAAGCACAUUAUUUCUUCUGAGAGGCAACCAUGAAUGCAGACACCUUACUGAAUAUUUUACCUUUAAGCAGGAAUGUAAAAUUAAAUAUUCAGAAAGAGACUAUGAAGCUUGUAUGGAAGCUUUUGAUAGCCUGCCUCUUGCUGCACUUUUAAACCAACAGUUUCUUUGUGUUCAUGGUGGACUUUCACCAGAAAUACACACACUGGAACAUAUUAGGAGAUUAGAUAGAUUCAAAGAGCCACCUGCAUUUGGACAAAUGUGUGACUUGCUAUGGUCCAAUCCUUCUGAAGAUUUUGGAAAUGAAAAAUCACAGGAACAUUUUAGUCACAAUACAGUUCAAGGAUGUUCUUAUUUUUAUAACUAUCCAGCAGUGUGUGAAUUUUUGCAAAACAAUAAUUUGUUAUCAAUUAUUAGAGCUCAUGAAGCUCAAGAUGCAGGCUAUAGAAUGUACAGAAAAAGUCAAACUACAGGGUCCCCUUCAUUAAUAACAAUUUUUUCGGCACCUAAUUACUUAGAUGUCUAUAAUCAUAAAGCUGCUGUAUUAAAAUAUGAAAAUAAUGUGAUGAAUAUUGUACAGUUUAACUGUUCUCCACAUCCGUACUGGUUGCCCAAUUUUAUGGAUGUCUUCACAUGGUCUUUACCAUUUGUUGGAGAAAAAGUGACAGAAAUGUUGGUAAAUGUUCUGAGUAUUUACUCUGAUGAUGAGCUAAUGACCGAAGGUGAAGACCAGUUUGAUGUAGGUUCAGCAGCAGCCCGGAAAGAAAUCAUAAGAAACAAAAUUCGAGCAAUUGGCAAGAUGGCAAGAGUCUUCUCUGUUUUCAGGGAGGAGAGUGAAAGUGUGCUGACACUCAAGGGGCUGACUCCCACAGGGAUGUUGCCUGGUGGAGUGUUGGCUGGCAGACGGCAGACCCUGCAAAGUGCAAUACGAGGAUUCUCUCCACCACAUAGAAUCUGCAGUUUUGAAGAGGCAAAGGGUUUGGAUAGGAUCAAUGAGAGAAUGCCACCCCAGAAAGAUGCUGUACAGCAAGAUGGUUUCAAUUCUCUGAACACUGCACAUGCCACUGAGAACCACGGGACUGGCAACCAUAGUGCCCAGUGACCUACAGCUUCCCAGGGACUCUCACAUCUCGGGCCCCCAAAUGGACAGAUCACCCGAGGAGCUGGAGGGGUUGGCCAAACUGACUGUAAAUGUCACAGAGUCCCUCUGCAGAAACCAUUGUGCUUUUGAAAACCCAGCCCCUUCCUGGAUGGAGGCUUGAGGGCCCUGGGACAUGUUGUGCUAUCUGAUAAGAUUGGGUCAUUGCUGCCAAUGUGGAAAGCAGUGAGCAAGGAGCUUGGGGCAAUUUCCAGUGGAGGGCAUCUACUACACCUCCAUUUAUACUUGUGGUUCACACAUUUAAGUUUACAAAUGAGAUUUCUUCCCCCCCCCCAGUAGAAUUAGAAUUUGUUUUUCAACCAUGACUUCAAAUGCAAUUCUAAGAGCUAAUGUAGACUUUUCUUUUUCCAUGAGAUAUCUUUAAAGGAUGAAUUAGCAUGGUCUUAAAAAAUACCUUUCUGGCGUUACUAGCUAUAUUUUGAAUUGUGGGCAAAAUGCUGAGAAACCCAGCAUUACAAAAUGCUGACCUCAGGUCAAUAGUUCUUAAAUGUGGCUAAUUCUGUAAUAUAGUCUUGGUAUUUUUC